AUACGUAGGGUGCGAGCGUUGUCCGGAAUUACUGGGUGUAAAGGGAGCGUAGGCGGGAGUGCAAGUCAGAUGUGAAAUACAUGGGCUCAACCCAUGGGCUGCAUUUGAAACUGCAUUUCUUGAGUGAAGUAGAGGUAAGCGGAAUUCCUGGUGUAGCGGUGAAAUGCGUAGAUAUCAGGAGGAACACCGGUGGCGAAGGCGGCUUACUGGGCUUUUACUGACGCUGAGGCUCGAAAGCGUGGGGAGCAAACAGGAUUAGAUACCCUGGUAGUCCACGCUGUAAACGAUGAUUACUAGGUGUGGGGGGACUGACCCCUUCCGUGCCGCAGUUAACACAAUAAGUAAUCCACCUGGGGAGUACGGCCGCAAGGUUGAAACUCAAAUGAAUUGACGGGG
rnacentral:rRNA from 1 species